rnacentral:lncRNA from 1 species
CGAUCUCUUGACCUCGUGAUCCGCCCGCCUCGGCCUUCCAGAGUGCUGGGAUUACAGGCGUGAGCCACCGCGUCCAGCCUCACCCAGAUGGAGUCUCAAUCUGUCACCCAGGCUAGAGCACAGUGGCGCAAUCUUGGCUCACUGCAACCUCCGUCUUCAGGAUUCAGAUGAGAAACCCAAGGUCCAGAAAGGGGACGCAAUGGCCAUAGCAGCAGCAGAGCAGGGACUGAAUCCCAAGGCUGAUGACUUUGACUUCGGUGCUCCAGCAUUUGUCUUCCCUGGAUUUCUCAGCUCACAGGCUCGAUAACUCUCUUCUCUCCCCAGACUUGUUGGCAGGCAAGAGGAAUAACUCACGUGAGUCAAAAGCAAUUUGCAAACAUAAAUAAUUUUCGAUGCCAGGAGAGGAGACGGUGGGAAGAUGCACGGAAGGUUGAGAGGAACACAGCCAGCCCCAAGUCUCCCUCGCCCUGCUGGGCACUUCCUCUCCCCUCCUCGGCGCUGGUGGGAGAGUCGGAGUGCGCCAUAAACAAGGCAGGAAACGGCUAUCAUGAUGCUCGCUUCCGCUCUUCCUAGAAGGGAUUCUGCUCGCCAAUCUCUCCACUCCCCACCCCCUACCAUGUACAGGAUUUUGUACUCCCAGCUCCUCUGGAGGCUCAGAGGAGGAGAUGGUCCUGCUGCACUGGUCCAGCCUUCCUCUACCUGGCUUGUCUUUUUCCUUGUCCUCAACCCCAAACAGCAAGUAUCCUAACAAAGAAUAGAUAGCACACGAUUAUUUUUGUGACAUUCAUCUCAGUGUCAUAUUCCAAAGGAGCUUGACAUAAUUGUCCUGUUUCUAAUUUGGACACUGGUUUACGAAAGUGUGGUGACCACUAGAGACUGUUCUCUGACAGUGUAACAGGUAUUCACUCCUUUCCCCAGGGUACUAAGACUCACGUGGCCCUGACAGCCAGCACAGUCUCUUAGGAGGUUCCGGAGGGUGGCAGUGGGAAUGAGCAUAGAGCCGUGUCAUUUCGGAGGGCUGAGUGCGUUCCACACACCUUCCCAAAGCCCACCCCAAGAGGCUGUCUAACGCAGGGGGAAACAAUGAGAAACCAGAUACCACGGAAUUAGUGAAGAAUUUCUCAGAUGAAACAGGAAAGGGAGGAAAUCCAGAGGGGUUUACAUUACACCUGGCUCAGGUUGAAAGGAUUCAGGGCCAGUUGUUGGCAAUAUUAAACUCCAGGCUGCGUUUGAAAGGGUCCUUCACUUGGGCAGCCAAAGAGAGGCGUUCCUGCCAGGAUAGGUUGCAUUGCUGCAGAUCUCCAGCCCUACGUGCAUACACACAUGCACACACACGCACACACGCGCACACACACAUGCACAAUGCACACACGCACACGUAUGCAUGCACACACACGCAUGCACACACACAUGCACACACAUGCACACACGUGCAUCUUGGACAUCUCUUGUUAAUGUCAGCCCUCCGCCCCAAACUAGAUUUGAAAACUUGUAGGUAAUCAAGUUUUCUGGUUAAGAGAAAUAAUCCCAGCCAACAGUAAGCUCUUAUGUGUCAGGCCUUAUCCAAACAGUUCACAUGAAGACCAGAUCCAAAAAUAAAAGUGUGCUUUGUCCUCUGUG